GGAUGGCUCAGUUGGUUAGAGCGUGGUGCUGAUAACACCAAGGUUGCAGGUUCAGUCCCCAUAAGAGACA